rnacentral:rRNA from 1 species
AGAGUUUGAUCCUGGCUCAGGAUGAACGCUGGCGGCGUGCCUAAUACAUGCAAGUCGAGCGGUAAGGCCUCUUCGGAGGUACACGAGCGGCGGACGGCUGAGUAACGCGUAGGAACCUACCCUGAAGUGAGGGAUAAGCACCAGAAAUGGUGUCUAAUACCGCAUGUGCUCUUAGGAGUAAAGCUUCGGCGCUUUGGGAA